GGGACCUGGAGUCAGUGGCUGCUUUGUGAGGAAGAGUCAGUGCUGUGAGGAGCUGCCCAUGAGAAACACCAAGAAGGUUAAAGAUAGUAAUUUGUGUGCAUCCUCACAGUCUUCAGUCUUCAAAGGACUCCCUCCUGGUUGUGAUUGCACCUACUUCCAUUGUUUGCACCCAACUUGGUCUUUUGUUUCAGCAAUUUAAACACUUUCAAAGUCAAGUGGAAGGCAAAAGAAAUAUACGAAAAUAUUUGAGUAGUAUUGUGAUCUUUUGUGGCAUUGCAACUUACAAUGUCUGUCUUGGAUAUUUUUUUAAUUAGGAGAAAAUAGAAAAGGAAAUCUCUUACGUUUUCAUUGAGCUUAUUUGCCACGUAACUGAUAGACAUUUUAAAUUGAGACAGAGUCUGUAGGCUUAUUUUGGGGAAACAAAUGAGGAUUUUUGAGGGGUAGGAUUUUGAACCUUAGUGAAAAGAGUUGGACAAUGCUAUGGAGCAGAGUGAAUUACUGAUGCAUGUAAUAGGCAAAAAUUUUCUGAUGGAAAGCAAUUGCUUAAAAUCUAAGAAGCAGAUAGUAGCACAAAACAUUUAUUUUUCAUAAUAUUUUUUCAAUCAUAUUAAUUGUAAUUGCUGCUAUAUAAGGAAUGAUUCCUGUUAUAAGGAGUUCCUAAUGCUUCUUGAUCAUUAAUCAAUCCAUUAGGUAUCAUUGCUAGGUAGUCCAAAGAAUGCAUUCUCCUUGAGAGUCUGCAUUAGAAUUUUCAAAUCAUUAAUACUAUUUAGCUGCUGCAGGCCUCUCUGGCUUCCCACUGAGGCAGAUUCUCUGUCAGGGGAGUCUUUUCUGAUUUAUUCUUUUAUUUGUGCUGGUGACUUAAAAAUGCCCUUGUGUCUGACACUGCUAUAUUGUGUGUUUAGAGAAUUUUCAGGAUGUUAAAGGAAAAGUAAAUACCAAAGAAAGUAGCUCCUAUUUUUCUCUACAAGAUCCUUUACUAUUGAUUGGAUGUUGGCAUAUUUUUGCGUUCUGUGAUCUAGGUUGUCUGUUCUUCCAUGACUAGACAGCUUUUCAUCUAUGAAAUCACUGUUAAGAAACAUCAUUAAUAAGAUAAAGCAGUGGUAUUUUUUUCAUUUCUUUUGGUAAGACUCGAGGAAAAGUAAUGAAAAAUUUAUUUUUCUCUUCUACAGAGAAGUGGAAGAACAUUUUCUCACUAACUUGCAGCUGAAUAUGAACUAAGGCACCUAAGGUGGAACUGAUUAGGAAAAACUUCAUUAAAUAUUUGUAAGGAAUAUAUUCUAUUAGCUGUGUAAUAAAGAGAGAUGAAACAGUAGAAGAGGCCUUAACUACAGCAAUAUAUUAGAUAAUCAAACAUUGGGAAGGUAAUCAGUGUACUGGGAAGGGAAAGAAGCACAAGAGACAAGUAAUUGCAAAACUUAAGUUGUCUUAACAACCUUAGUUGCUUUUGUUUUCUCUAAGAUAUAAUUUCAUCUUUAUGUUGAUGAAAUUUCAAUAUCUAAGUCAAAUCUUAUUUCUGUCAAAUGCAGAUUAUGUAAUGGAGUCAGAAAAGAGC